rnacentral:rRNA from 1 species
AUUGAACGCUGGCGGCAUGCUUUACACAUGCAAGUCGAACGGUAACAGGCCGCAAGGUGCUGACGAGUGGCGAACGGGUGAGUAAUGCAUCGGAACGUGCCCAGUCGUGGGGGAUAACUACUCGAAAGAGUAGCUAAUACCGCAUACGAUCUAUGGAUGAAAGCGGGGGACCGUAAGGCCUCGCGCGAUUGGAGCGGCCGAUGUCAGAUUAGGUAGUGGGUGGGGUAAAGGCUCACCAAGCCAACGAUCUGUAGCUGGUCUGAGAGGACGACCAGCCACACUGGGACUGAGACACGGCCCAGACUCCUACGGGAGGCAGCAGUGGGGAAUUUUGGACAAUGGGCGCAAGCCUGAUCCAGCAAUGCCGCGUGCAGGAAGAAGGCCUUCGGGUUGUAAACUGCUUUUGUACGGAACGAAACGGCUCUGGUUAAUACCCGGGGCUAAUGACGGUACCGUAAGAAUAAGCACCGGCUAACUACGUG